UGCUCUUGGAAGACCAGCAAGUCACAGGCCUUCCGGUCAAAGGGAGGGCGAUACAGUUGACUGGAAGCUGAAGAUAUUGCUUCCCGCAAUGAGGAGUGACAAAUCUUCCCUUGUUUCAUUCAAUGGGAUUUUAGAAUAUACGAUGGGGAGCAUAUUUUUAGACCAUGCCUAGACAUCGACACACCUGUUAAGGUAGCAACUUGGAGCACAACUUGGAGCAGGCAUAGUGCUGUUUGGAGAGCACAUGUUGAGUGUCGCCGGAGGAGGAGACGUCCGCUGGACAGGGCGGGUCCGGCCAAAGAGAAAAUCUAAGAAUCCUACCAAUUCCCAAAUUGGUAGUUUCCAAACGCCGUUGUUCCCCAAACCCGGUUCCCAGCCGCCCCCUUAAACAAGACUAUCCUCUGCCUCAAAACCCAGUUUCCGACCACUAUUUGCGCCAAAAAAAAAAAACAAAAAGACAAAAAAAAAAAAACAAAGAGGACAAAUUUUACACUACUUGAGCAAAGCAUCAUUUCCGCAGGCUUCAAGCUUCUCACUCUGUUCUA